CCGCACUCAUUUCCGCGUGGAAGGAGAGAUGCAGUCCAUUAUCAGAAAAAAACAAACAAACAAGAAAACAUAGUCGUAUGUUGUGAAUGUAAGCAGUUUACAUCAAAACUGCAUUGCUGUUAAUUGCGUUUGAAUAGGAGAGGAUCCAUUGAGAUGUGCUAUCUCGUUCAAAACAAGGAACUAAUGCAUCCUGGCUCCUGGGAUUCAGCUUCACUAGCCUUGUGGUCGCUCUCUCAGUGCGCAACAUAAGAUCCCAAACACUGGACUUUGAUGAAGCUGCUGGCUCAGCAGAAAUGAACUGUUCAUGAAAUCCAGGCUGAGACAGAGCCCAAGUCCUGCUAGCGACAGUAUGAGGCGGGUCAUGUUCGGAAUCCACAACAACGCCCUGGCCUAUGCCAUGACCACACUGGGCGCUGGGAUGAUGAACAGCAUUUUCAGCUUCUACUAUGUCAAGCUGUUUUUGAACAAGUACAAAAUCUCAGAGGGAGCUUUCCACCAAUC